UGAGUAACCUGCCCCAGACUCUGGGAUAAGCACUGGAAACGGUGUCUAAUACCGGAUAUGACUCCUCAUCGCAUGGGUGGGGGGUGGAAAGCUUUUUGUGGUUUUGGAUGGACUCGCGGCCUAUCAGCUUGUUGGCGAGGUAAUGGCUCACCAAGGCGACGACGGGUAGCCGGCCUGAGAGGGUGACCGGCCACACUGGGACUGAGACACGGCCCAGACUCCGUACGGGNGCAG
rnacentral:rRNA from 1 species